CUUCUCCACACUGUUGUUGGUCUCUGACAGUGCAGAGUGCUGCUGCAUUAGACCAACAAGAAACUUUACGCAUACGCUCAUCAGAUACUCCAGUGAAAACUACACAAAACCUCGGCUACAAAUAAUCAGCAUGUUGGUCAUUUAGGUACCAAAUACUUCAUUCACAAAUAGACACAAUGGAUGGAUAAGAAGAACAGAAACUUGUCCUCCACAUCUGCAUUGUAGCAGGUUGGACAGGGGCCGUCACAAGAUAAAGGCUCCUCCCCAUCUUUGAGACUAAAAGGAAGUUGUUCUUUCUAACAGAAGAAGUUGAUAGUGUACAUUGAUGUUCAGAUAAAACGGCUGAAAAGAGCAGGAAGAAAAGUAAUUGAGAAAGUUUCCUCAUCGACUGACAGCACUUAAUCUGAAGUCAGCAUCUGGAAAUCUGACACAAUGAGCCGUCCACAGGGCUACAUAGAAGGUGAAGCUCCAGCCUCCCAACAACGCUCAGGGUCAAAGGUUUUGCAGGUAAGUCUAGAGUCUUUGCGCUCAAGUCCGAAGUCCUGAUUCCUAAACCACAUAUAAAUGCCUUGUUAGCAACAUUAUAAUAUAUUAAAAAGGCCAUAUGUCUGUGUGUGCUUUAUUGUUUGACUUGGGAUCCCAGUGUCGCUGAAAAAUGUCCAUCACAAGUUUCUAGAGUCCAAGGUAAUAUGCUUGUUUAUCUGAGAAACAGGCCAAAACCCAAAUAUAGUCAAUUCAUAGUGAUAUAAAACAACUCCAGAGGUUGAGACCAAAGAUCAGGACCUUGGACAGCAGCAUCAUAAAGCACUAGGAAAG
rnacentral:lncRNA from 15 species